GUGGGGAAUUUUGGACAAUGGGGGCAACCCUGAUCCAGCCAUUCCGCGUGAGUGAAGAAGGCCUUCGGGUUGUAAAGCUCUUUUGUCGGGGACGAAACGGUUUUGGCUAAUAUCCAAGACUACUGACGGUACCCGAAGAAUAAGCACCGGCUAACUACGUGCCAGCAGCCGCGGUAAUACGUAGGGUGCGAGCGUUAAUCGGAAUUACUGGGCGUAAAGCGUGCGCAGGCGGUUUUAUAAGCCAGAUGUGAAAUCCCCGGGCUUAACCUGGGAAUGGCAUUUGGGACUGUAAAGCUGGAGUAUGGCAGAGGGGACUGGAAUUCCUGGUGUAGCAGUGAAAUGCGUAGAUAUCAGGAGGAAUACCGAUGGCGAAGGCAGGUCCCUGGGCCAAUACUGACGCUCAUGCACGAAAGCGUGGGGAGCAAACAGGAUUAGAAACCCCAGUAGUCC
rnacentral:rRNA from 1 species